CCCGGAGCAACCCCCUCUAUCUCACAUUAACCAGAUCUAAAAAAAACCCUCUCAAAUAUGUAAUCUAUUAUUUUCAGAAGCCCUAAGAGAAAGGCAAAUAAUCUCUUCUCUAUAGUAACUGAGGGGAAAACAGUUUACCAUAUUUGUUCUGAAAUAACAAAACCCAAGGAGGAACAACUCUCUCUGAGAAAUCCAGUCCUUCCAUGAGACCUCGGUGCACACAGAACUCCUCCUACCACGUGCAACCUUAUUCUCGGCUGAGCAACUCAUAAAUCGCUUAACAAAAACGGUGAUUGAUGCGGACUGUGUUUAGUGCCAUCCUUGCCGGUGAGAGGGAGUGAGCCAGCAAGCUUCCUUAAAUCUCUUUAGUUCUCCAAAAGGAGAGGCUGUUUGCCUUCUCAUCUAUGCCGCAAGUUUCUGGGGCUUGCAUCAUUAACCUGGUGGCUUUGCCAAUUCCUUCGCCAGUGCUGGGUCAAAGACAGGCA
rnacentral:lncRNA from 1 species